UACGAAGGGUGCAAACGUUGCUCGGAAUUAUUGGGCGUAAAGCGCACGUAGGCGGCUUAGCAAGUCGGAUGUGAAAUCCCUCGGCUCAACCAAGGAAGUGCAUCCGAAACUGCUGAGCUUGAGUACUUAAGAGGAUCGCGGAAUUCCCGGUGUAGAGGUGAAAUUCGUAGAUAUCGGGAGGAACACCAGUGGCGAAGGCGGCGCCUGGGCCAAUAUUGACGCUGAGGUGCGAAAAGCGUGGGGAGCAAACAGGG
rnacentral:rRNA from 1 species